GCACGCUUGGACGUAUUUUCGUUCUUACUUUGAAAACAUCUACGUAUGUAUACACGUUCCUGUUUCCAAUGUUAGAAUGGAACGGUUUACUUCUCGAAGACAGUCACCAUAGCGAGAAUUCUCUUCCUCGGUGCUUGAACGAAGAGGUAGAAGUACACUUAAUUGAUUGGUUAUUGUUCCUGCCUAUACCUGGCUCGCAAAGGUCUACAACCAUAAAUAAGAUCCACAAAGACACGAGUUUAUGUUGGCGGUGUAAGUCAUGCUGGAUGGUGCCCCGUUUCAAGGAUGCUCUGUGCUUGAAAAAGAUGGCCUACUUCACCAGCCUAAUGACAUAAUUCUGCCAGAUAACCGUGUCAGUCCGGUACCAAUGGAACAAUACACAUUGUACGAAUUCCAUUUC